CUCUUUGAUCCGGAGAUUGUCUCCAAAAUCCUUGCUGGUUUGGACAUGGAGUACAACCCGGUGGUAUCUGCACUUGCCGCCAGGGUAGAACCCAUCACCGUCCAAGAGCUCUACAACCAGCUGCUCAGUUUUGAUG
rnacentral:snoRNA from 1 species